UACGUAGGGUGCGAGCGUUAAUCGGAAUUACUGGGCGUAAAGCGUGCGCAGGCGGUUAUGUAAGACAGUUGUGAAAUCCCCGGGCUCAACCUGGGAAUUGCAUCUGUGACUGCAUAGCUAGAGUACGGUAGAGGGGGAUGGAAUUCCGCGUGUAGCAGUGAAAUGCGUAGAUAUGCGGAGGAACACCGAUGGCGAAGGCAAUCCCCUGGACCUGUACUGACGCUCAUGCACGAAAGCGUGGGGAGCAAACGAGGAUAGA
rnacentral:rRNA from 1 species